UACGGAGGGUGCAAGCGUUAUCCGGAUUUACUGGGUUUAAAGGGUGCGUAGGCGGACAGGUAAGUCAGUGGUGAAAUCCCCGAGCUCAACUUGGGAACUGCCGUUGAUACUAUUUGUCUUGAAUACCGUGGAGGUGAGCGGAAUAUGUCAUGUAGCGGUGAAAUGCUUAGAUAUGACAUAGAACACCGAUUGCGAAGGCAGCUCACUACGCGGUCAUUGACGCUGAGGCACGAAAGCGUGGGGAGCAAACAGG
rnacentral:rRNA from 1 species